GCCAAGAAUCAGCAACUGCUCCAAGGAAAAAAUGGGUCUAAGAAGUAGGCUCAUCUCUCCUUGGUUCUCCUUUCUACAACAUCUUGGCCCCUCAAUUCCUGGUUGUCUUGGCGGCUUUGUGCUGCUUUCAAACUUAUAACUUUGUGUUUUAUCUGACUUUUAGCUCUGUGUUAAUCAGCCAGUAGCAAAAGCCCUGCUGCCUUUGAAAAAUAUUGAUUAAAGCUGAUUGAUGGACUUCAUGGAUGGAAAGAGAAACAGAUUAUGGGAACUGGAUAGAUCAACUCAUGAAGCUAGGCUCAUUCAUUAGGGAGACGUAAAUAAAGUCAUACUAUUUAUACAUGCUGUCUGAUUCGCUUCAAAUAUGUUUUCAAUAGUUUUCUAUCUACAUUGUGCUGAAAACAUAUAUGCUGAAAUAAUAUCUUUAUGCACAGAAAAUAGAAAAAGGGGAAGAUAAUUGCGCAGUUGUUCCUUUAAGCCAAUUAAAUUCCA
rnacentral:lncRNA from 10 species